rnacentral:rRNA from 1 species
UACGAAGGGGGCUAGCGUUGCUCGGAAUUAUUGGGCGUAAAGAGCUCGUAGGUGGCCUGUCGCGUCGGCUGUGAAAACUCGGGGCUCAACUCCGAGCUUGCAGUCGAUACGGGCAGGCUAGAGUUCGGCAGGGGAGACUGGAAUUCCUGGUGUAGCGGUGAAAUGCGCAGAUAUCAGGAGGAACACCGGUGGCGAAGGCGGGUCUCUGGGCCGAUACUGACACUGAGGAGCGAAAGCGUGGGGAGCGAACAGG